rnacentral:rRNA from 1 species
CUACCGAUAACCGUUUGAGAGAAGGGAUGACACAGUAGGAUAAGCUAAGCACACUGUUGGUUAUGUGUGCCCAAGCAUUGAGGCAGUCAAAGUAGGCAAAUCCGCUUUGAUAAUGCUGGGAUGUGAUGGGGAGCGAAAUUUAGUAGCGAAGUAGCUGAUUUCACACUGUCAAGAAAAGUCUCUAUCGAGGUUAAAGGUACCCGUACCGCAAACCGACACAGGUGGGUGAGGAGAGUAUCCUAAGGCCAGCGAGAGAACUGUUGUUAAGGAACUCGGCAAAAUGACCCCGUAACUUAGGGAUAAGGGGUGCCACCAUCAGGUGGCCGCAGAGAAUAGGCCCAAGCGACUGUUUACCAAAAACAUAGGUUUCUGCUAAGUCGCAAGACGAUGUAUAGGAGCUGACGCCUGCCCGGUGCUGGAAGGUUAAGGGGAUCUGUUAGAGCAAUCGAAGCAGUGAACUUAAGCCCCAGUAAACGGCGGCCGUAACUAUAACGGUCCUAAGGUAGCGAAAUUCCUUGUCGGGUAAGUUCCGACCCGCACGAAAGGCGUAACGAUUUGGGCACUGUCUCAACAACAGACUCGGUGAAAUUGUAAUUCCGGUGAAGAUGCCGGAUACCUGCGACAGGACGGAAAGACCCCAUGGAGCUUUACUGUAGCUUGACAUUGGGUCUUGGUACUACAUGUACAGGAUAGGUGGGAGGCUUUGAAACCAGGACGCCAGUUUUGGCGGAGCCAUCCUUGGGAUACCACCCUUGUAGUACUGGGACUCUAACCAUAGGCCAUGAAUCUGGUCUUGGGACACUGUCAGGUGGGCAGUUUGACUGGGGCGGUCGCCUCCCAAAAGGUAACGGAGGCGCUCAAAGGUUCUCUCAGUACGGUCGGAAAUCGUACGUAGAGUGUAAAGGCAAAAGAGAGCUUGAUUGCAAGACAUACAGGUCGAGCAAGGAUGAAAAUCGGACUUAGUGAUCCGGUGGUUCUGCGUGGAAGGGCCAUCGCUCAACGGAUAAAAGCUACCCUGGGGAUAACAGGCUUAUCUCCCCCAAGAGUCCACAUCGACGGGGAGGUUUGGCACCUCGAUGUCGGCUCAUCACAUCCUGGGGCUGUAGUAGGUCCCAAGGGUUGGGCUGUUCGCCCAUUAAAGUGGUACGCGAGCUGGGUUCAGAACGUCGUGAGACAGUUCGGUCCCUAUCCGUCGCAGGCGUAGGAAAUUUGAGAAGACCUGUCCUUAGUACGAGAGGACCGGGAUGGACGUACCUCUGGUGUACCAGUUGUCCUGCCAAGGGCAUGGCUGGGUAGCUAUGUACGGAAUGGAUAAGCGCUGAAAGCAUCUAAGCGCGAAGCCAACUUCAAGAUAAGAUUUCCCACCGCAAGGGUAAGACCCCAGAAAGACUAUCUGGUUGAUAGGUCGAAGGUGUAAGUGCAGCAAUGUAUUUAGCUUAUCGAUACUAAUAGGUCGAGGACUUGACCAA